GUUGCACGAACCAUGAUUCCCAUUUUGGUUGGCAAGGUUGCCAAAGUGACAGGAACCAAUAGCUUCAAUCGCAAUACCAGAAAUUGAUGGCUUCUCUAAGUCAAUCCCUCCAUGAUAAGCAUCAAAUUUUCUCCAAAUUGAAGUCCUGACAUCUGAACCAUCCCAAUUCUUUCGUGACUGGAUCCUGGUGAGUGGAAAAUUGCAUAAUUUGAUUGAUGUGAAUGAACACCACGAGGAAGGAAGAGACAUGUAUCAGAGAGGGUGGGACAGAUACCUGCUAAUUGAUGUCAGAGAUGGGAGGUGCAGCAAAUGACCUCAUCCCAUUGCACUGCCGCCUGCUGGGGUGGCCGUUGCUGCGGUCCCUUCCAGAGCGCCAUGGUUCCUCCCUAGCAAUGGUGGCAGCGGUUCCGUGCAGGCUGUGGUACUUAUGGAGUGCUAGCGCAGCAUCCCCAGUCGCUGCCUCCUCCUGGUUGUUGUCGUGGACACCCACGACGCCGGUGCUAUACAUCACCAACCCUCCCCAACCUCCUCCCUCCCUUCGUUGCUAGGACCUGACACAAAAGGGGUGCCAC
rnacentral:lncRNA from 1 species